CCUACGGGAGGCAGCAGUGAGGAAUAUUGGUCAAUGGGAGAGAUCCUGAACCAGCCAAGCCGCGUGAGGGAAGACGGCCCUAUGGGUUGUAAACCUCUUUUGUCGGAGAACAAAACCCGGGACGUGUCCCGGACUGCGUGUAUCCGAAGAAAAAGCAUCGGCUAACUCCGUGCCAGCAGCCGCGGUAAUACGGAGGAUGCGAGCGUUAUCCGGAUUUAUUGGGUUUAAAGGGUGCGUAGGCGGUCCGUUAAGUCAGCGGUAAAAUUGCGGGGCGCAACCCCGUCGAGCCGUUGAAACUGGCAGACUUGAGUUGGCGAGAGGUACGCGGAAUGCGCGGUGUAGCGGUGAAAUGCGUAGAUAUCGCGCAGAACUCCGAUUGCGAAGGCGACCUGCUAGAACAUAACUGACGCUGAUGCGCGAAAGCGUGGGGAGCAAACAGGAUUAGAUACCCCGGUAGUC
rnacentral:rRNA from 1 species